rnacentral:rRNA from 1 species
UAAGUUGCAGGGUAUAGACCCGAAACCCGGUGAUCUAGCCAUGGGCAGGUUGAAGGUUGGGUAACACUAACUGGAGGACCGAACCGACUAAUGUUGAAAAAUUAGCGGAUGACCUGUGGCUGGGGGUGAAAGGCCAAUCAAACCGGGAGAUAGCUGGUUCUCCCCGAAAGCUAUUUAGGUAGCGCCUCGUGAAUUCAUCUCCGGGGGUAGAGCACUGUUUCGGCUAGGGGGCCAUCCCGGCUUACCAACCCGAUGCAAACUGCGAAUACCGGAGAAUGUUAUCACGGGAGACACACGGCGGGUGCUAACGUCCGUCGUGAAGAGGGAAACAACCCAGACCGCCAGCUAAGGUCCCAAAGUCAUGGUUAAGUGGGAAACGAUGUGGGAAGGCCCAGACAGCCAGGAUGUUGGCUUAGAAGCAGCCAUCAUUUAAAGAAAGCGUAAUAGCUCACUGGUCGAGUCGGCCUGCGCGGAAGAUGUAACGGGGCUAAACCAUGCACCGAAGCUGCGGCAGCGAACGUAUCACCCAAGACAACUUUACGGAGUUGACGAUUGACGGAGCGAAGCGACGUCAAAGCGUUCAUUAAAGUCGAGUUGGCUUAGGGAUACGUUCGUUGGGUAGGGGAGCGUUCUGUAAGCCUGUGAAGGUGUGUCGUGAGGCAUGCUGGAGGUAUCAGAAGUGCGAAUGCUGACAUAAGUAACGAUAAAGCGGGUGAAAAGCCCGCUCGCCGGAAGACCAAGGGUUCCUGUCCAACGUUAAUCGGGGCAGGGUGAGUCGACCCCUAAGGCGAGGCCGAAAGGCGUAGUCGAUGGGAAACGGGUUAAUAUUCCCGUACUUGGUGUUACUGCGAAGGGGGGACGGAGAAGGCUAUGUUGGCCGGGCGACGGUUGUCCCGGUUUAAGCGUGUAGGUGUGUGUUCCAGGUAAAUCCGGUUCACUUUAACACUGAGGCGUGACGACGAGGCACUACGGUGCUGAAGCAACAAAUGCCCUGCUUCCAGGAAAAGCCUCUAAGCAUCAGGUAACACGAAAUCGUACCCCAAACCGACACAGGUGGUCAGGUAGAGAAUACCAAGGCGCUUGAGAGAACUCGGGUGAAGGAACUAGGCAAAAUGGUGCCGUAACUUCGGGAGAAGGCACGCUGACACGUAGGUGAAGUGAUUUACUCAUGGAGCUGAAGUCAGUCGAAGAUACCAGCUGGCUGCAACUGUUUAUUAAAAACACAGCACUGUGCAAACACGAAAGUGGACGUAUACGGUGUGACGCCUGCCCGGUGCCGGAA